rnacentral:rRNA from 1 species
CGAUGCAACGCGAAGAACCUUACCUACUCUUGACAUCCAGAGAACUUAGCAGAGAUGCUUUGGUGCCUUUCGGGAACUCUGAGACAGGUGCUGCAUGGCUGUCGUCAGCUCGUGUUGUGAAAUGUUGGGUUAAGUCCCGCAACGAGCGCAACCCUUAUCCUUUGUUGCCAGCGGUCAGGUCGGGAACUCAAAGGAGACUGCCAGUGAUAAACUGGAGGAAGGUGGGGAUGACGUCAAGUCAUCAUGGCCCUUACGAGUAGGGCUACACACGUGCUACAAUGGCGCAUACAAAGAGAAGCGACCUCGCGAGAGCAAGCGGACCUCAUAAAGUAUGUCGUAGUCCGGAUUGGAGUCUGCAACUCGACUCCAUGAAGUCGGAAUCGCUAGUAAUCGUAGAUCAGAAUGCCACGGUGAAUACGUUCCCGGGCCUUGUACACACCGCCC